rnacentral:rRNA from 1 species
UACGAAGGGGGCUAGCGUUGCUCGGAAUUACUGGGCGUAAAGGGCGCGUAGACGGACAGUUUAGUCAGAGGUGAAAGCCCAGGGCUCAACCUUGGAAUUGCCUUUGAUACUGGCUGUCUUGAGUUCGGGAGAGGUGAGUGGAAUGCCGAGUGUAGAGGUGAAAUUCGUAGAUAUUCGGCGGAACACCAGUGGCGAAGGCGACUCACUGGCCCGAUACUGACGCUGAGGCGCGAAAGCGUGGGGAGCAAACGGG